AAAGGAAUAGAACAAAUUAUUUCAACGACAUUUUAUCUGCAUUGCUUUUUCAUCGAAUAUACAUAAUAACCACACCAAUUCACCAUAUUCUCAUAACGUAAAGACGCUUGUGCUUUGCCUAAGCCUUAAGGUUUUUGCUAUUUUAUAAAGAAAUCAUGACCAUUAUGGAUUACAAGACUUGAUUUUUCCCAAGAGCAGCAGCCCUGUAAACUGGGGUUUCCCCCAAACCGUUUUUAGCUUCAAUUUGAUUUUUGUACGCAUCACCAGACUUUCUGGAAAAGUCAACCAAAACCCUGGCCACGUCGAAGUUUUCGACGAUGGCCGCUUCGUGAAGACCGGUGUUUCCAAACGCAUCUUUUUGCUUCAAAACUUCGAGUCUGUUCUCCGGUUAUAGCCUUUCGAGCAAUUCCUGGAUCAUCUGAGGGUCUUCCAUGGCCGCUGCAACGUGAAUUGCUGAGUCUCCAUUGACCGUCCUGUAAUCCAACAACUCUGCAGGUCGUUGACGAAAGUAAACCAAGAAACCUUGACGGUCUCCAUUUUAAGGCCAUUCCAUAAGGAUCCAUCUUUCUCUCUCUCACUCACACUCUUGAAUAUAUAAGCUUUAAUGCAUCAUUGUAGAAGUUCUAAACGAAGUUAUCAAAUUGGCACAAUCACUUUGCGUUUUAUAUUAAUAUAGGCGGAGUUUAUCUCUUGGGUCAGGCAGAAGAAUAGAAUAUAUUAUUUCCAACAGCUUUGGCGGGUCCUUAUUGC
rnacentral:lncRNA from 1 species